rnacentral:ncRNA from 1 species
GUUGAAACGUGAAUAAAGGAAUAGUAAUGAUAUCAAACUGUGUAGAGAGUUGACGGUUGGUGGAAGUCAAUCAGGGUGAAUCAUGAACUCGCCUUUUAGUUGUAUAAGCGAAAGAAGUAGUUUAUGCCGUUUUCCGCGUUAAGGAUAUAUGAGUGAAUGCAAUAAGCAUUAAUGUGGGUGGUUACCGCGGGAGCUUAAGUCUCUCGUCCCAGAG